ensembl:lncRNA
CAGCCAGCCCGAGUCCGUCAGAAGCUUGCAUUUCCGCUUCCGGCGUUUAGUCGCUGUCCGAAUGUGAAUUUCAAGUUCUACUUCAAUUCCUAUCUGAAUGUGGCUUCUCAGGGAAGUGAAGGAAGAGGUUUGAAGUUCAGAGCACAGCUGCAGGGUUUCUCUCUGAUCUGAACAAUGGCUGUAGCUGUGGACAAACAAAUCCACACUCAAGUACAAGAAGGACUUCAAAUAAUGAAGCUGGAAGAAGAUUCCCACAGGGAGCAGGAAAUUUUCCUUCUAGGGAAUGUCCCUGGACCAGAGACCUCCUGCCAGUGCUUUUGGCAUUUCUGCUAUUGAGAAGCAGCAGGACUCUGAGAGUCCCUCAUCCAACUCUGGAAGCUUGGCCAUCGGUGAUUGAGACCAGAGAUAAACGAAAGAGCAGUUCCUAGAGUCACUAGUCCUAGAAUCGUUCCUGGCUGUCCUUCCCCAGGAGAUCCAGAUCUGGGUUAGACAGAAGCAUCCACAGAGUGGACAGGAGGCAGUGGCCCUGGUGGAAGAUUUGCAAAGAGAACCUGGAAGACAGCAGCUGCAGGUCAUGGUGAUGAUGUCACAGCCAGACCAGAAGACCAAAUGAAUCGUAGCCCCGAAGUAGAACUGGGAGCCUCCCACAAGAGUGAGCGGUGUGAGCAUCGGAUCACAUGCCCCGGCUCUUCCUGCCUGGAGGAGGCCCUCACCCACUCAUCCCACGGCACCUGAACCCUUGGGGGACUCCCUGCUCAACUCGGCACAGCACGUGGGACCACUGCGGAUCAGCUGCAGCCCACGUUCCCAGUUGUAUUUCCAACUUCCUUUGCUCCCCAGGCUGGGGCUGCAGCUUCUCCCACUUCUGUCUUUUCUGUGCUGUUCCCUCUGCCUGGGAUACCCCACACUGCUGAGGCUCCUCUCCUGACGCCCGUGGUUGAACUGGAUUGGGUCCUGUACAGAAGUACCGCUGGGCAUGCGUGGAGGGCGGUGCUCCUCAGCCGGGUCCACAGAUGUGCACCCUGAGCAUCACCUGGGAGCUUAAAUGAACUGCAAAUUCUCAAGCCCACCCUCAAACUGGAGGUUCCUUUUUCUUUUUGGCUAUGCUGGGUCUUCACUGCUGGAUGAAGGCUACUCUCCAGUAGCGGUGUGCAGGCAUCUCAUUGCAGUGGCUUCUCUUGUUGCAG